rnacentral:rRNA from 1 species
UACAGAGGGGGCAAGCGUUGUUCGGAAUCACUGGGCGUAAAGCGCACGUAGGCGGGUUCUUAAGUCAGGGGUGAAAUCCUGGAGCUCAACUCCAGAACUGCCUUUGAUACUGGGAAUCUCGAGUCCGGGAGAGGUGAGUGGAACUGCGAGUGUAGAGGUGAAAUUCGUAGAUAUUCGCAAGAACACCAGUGGCGAAGGCGGCUCACUGGCCCGGUACUGACGCUGAGGUGCGAAAGCGUGGGGAGCAAACAGGG